UACAGAGGUCUCGAGCGUUAGGCGGAAUCACUGGGCUUAAAGCGUGUGUAGGCGGAUUGCUAAGUACCUUGUGAAAUCCCACGGCUUAACCGUGGAACUGCUUGGUAUACUGGCUGUCUUGAGCCACUUAGGGGCGACCGGAACAAACGGUGGAGCGGUGAAAUGCGUAGAUAUCGGGAGGAACACCGGUGGCGAAGGCGGUUCUCUGGGCCUUACCUGACGCUGAGGAGCGAAAGCAUGGGGAGCGAACAGG
rnacentral:rRNA from 1 species